UAGGGAAUUUUCGGCAAUGGGGGAAACCCUGACCGAGCAACGCCGCGUGAAUGACGAAGUACUUCGGUAUGUAAAGUUCUUUUAUCAGGGAAGAAUGGCUAGCGGAAAAGCUAGAUG
rnacentral:rRNA from 1 species